UACGGAGGGUGCGAGCGUUGUCCGGAAUCACUGGGCGUAAAGGGCGCGUAGGCGGGGAGGUAAGUCGGGUGUGAAAUCCCUCGGCCCAACCGAGGAACUGCGCCCGAGACUGCUUCUCUUGAGUCCCGGAGAGGAAGAUGGAAUUCCCGGUGUAGCGGUGAAAUGUGUAGAGAUCGGGAGGAACACCGGUGGCGAAGGCGGGUCUCUGGGACGAUAUUGACGCUGAGGAGCGAAAGCGUGGGGAGCGAACAGG
rnacentral:rRNA from 1 species